UACGAAGGGGGCUAGCGUUGCUCGGAAUCACUGGGCGUAAAGCGCACGUAGGCGGCUUUCUAAGUCAGGGGUGAAAUCCUGGAGCUCAACUCCAGAACUGCCUUUGAUACUGGAGAGCUUGAGUCCGGGAGAGGUGAGUGGAACUCCGAGUGUAGAGGUGAAAUUCGUAGAUAUUCGGAAGAACACCAGUGGCGAAGGCGGCUCACUGGCCCGUUACUGACGCUGAGGCACGAAAGCGUGGGGAGCAAACAGG
rnacentral:rRNA from 1 species